rnacentral:rRNA from 1 species
UACAGAGGUCUCAAGCGUUGUUCGGAUUCAUUGGGCGUAAAGGGUGCGUAGGUGGCAUGGUAAGUCGGAUGUGAAAUCCCGGGGCUCAACCCCGGAACUGCAUUCGAUACUGCUGCGCUAGAGUACUGGAGAGGAGAUUGGAAUUUACGGUGUAGCAGUGAAAUGCGUAGAUAUCGGGAGGAACACCUGUGGCGAAGGCGGCCAUCUGGACGACAACUGACGCUGAGACGCGAAAGCGUGGGUAGCAAACAGG